rnacentral:rRNA from 1 species
AGAGUUUGAUCCUGGCUCAGGACGAACGCUGGCGGCGUGCUUAACACAUGCAAGUCGAACGGUAAGGCCCUUCGGGGUACACGAGUGGCGAACGGGUGAGUAACACGUGGGUAAUCUGCCCUGCACAUCGGGAUAAGCCUGGGAAACUGGGUCUAAUACCGAAUAGGACCACAGAACACAUGUCCUGUGGUGGAAAGCUUUUGCGGUGUGGGAUGGGCCCGCGGCCUAUCAGCUUGUUGGUGGGGUGAUGGCCUACCAAGGCGACGACGGGUAGCCGGCCUGAGAGGGUGUCCGGCCACACUGGGACUGAGAUACGGCCCAGACUCCUACGGGAGGCAGCAGAAGGG